GCGGGCCCGUGCGGGGUGGGCGUGGGCUGCAGCCGGGCAGAGCCUGUGCUGUCUGAGGAGCUAGAAGGGCUGAGGGGGACUCGCGCCCUGCCAGGCCGCCCCAGCGGGCCGGGGUGCGCGGGAAAGGCGCGGAGCAGGCUACCGAGGGCCUGCGCGGGCAGCGCGACCCCUGGCGUGGUGGCCGUCGUGGGUAGAAAAGUAGCAGUGCAGAGCCCACGCGGAGGCCGGGACCUGGCUGGGGCAGCUGGGAAAGCAGAGCGCCCCCGCGGGGAGGAUCGACCCCGCCGUGAACUCUGCUGCCCCGCGAGGAAUGCAGCCCGGGACGGAAGACGAGCCUGGGCUUCUCGGCGCCGUCCCGCGGGCAAGCGGCCGUGAAUCAGCGUGGGACGAGGCAGCGAGGGAAUCGAACUCAAGACCUCCCACUUGCCAGGCAGGCACUGUACCACUGAGCUAAAUUCCCAGCCCCUGAACUCUGAUCAUUUUUUCAAUCGUAAGGAAUAUGGUGCCUAAAAAGCAGGAAAGCCACGUCAGCGCGGACUCGUACCUACACCGGAGAAGAAGCUGCAGGUCUCGGAGAAGAAACUGCGGCCAGGAGCCUCGCUCCUGGCGAUGACACUGUGAGUAUGGUGUGCGGCGAGUUUGUGCCCUGAGCACUCCACUGGGGAGUGCUGGAGAAAUGGCUGGGAUACAGGGACAUCCCUGCCACAGCAGAGGGGCUGAGAUGAAGGGACGGGGCUCGUGGUGACAGAGGGCCUGGGCCUGGGCCUGGGCAGGAGUCUCCGAAGGCUUGACUUUGGGGACAGUGGAGGGCACACACCUUGAUCCCUGCGUCUCUCUCCCGGGCCCCCGCUGCAGGCUGCACAGGUGAUGGCAGAGACAGAGGAACUCGGGCUGGAGCGGGGGACAGAGGUCUGAUGGCUGGAGGGGGCCGGGCGGGAGGCUCAGGGCUGAACGUGUGUUCUGUACCCAUUAAUAAUCAUUCAUUUUUGUUUCCCCAUGAGACCCCAAGUCAGCAGGGGCCCCUCAGAAGGGGCUGGCGAUGCUGGUGACAGAGGCCAGGACGACCCUCCAGGGAGAUGCCUCUGCCGGGACAUCAGGCCAGCGGCCGGCCAGCCAGCCUCAGGGAGCCGCCCUGGUUUUGAUCAAGCAGCCAGGGAUUGUGUUCCAAGCCUCUUGUGCAAUCCUGCUCUCAGCCUCCCCAGCCACGCCCGCAGUUUACCAGGCCACGCGUGCUCCCAUGGCAAGGUUAUUUAUUUUAUUCCCAAAUAAAUGUAACUCACCU